rnacentral:rRNA from 1 species
GACAGAGGCCUCGAGCGUUAGGCGGAAUCACUGGGCUUAAAGCGUGUGUAGGCGGACGCCUAAGUACCUUGUGAAAUCCCACGGCUCACCCGUGGAACCGCUGGGUAUACUGGGCGUCUUGGGCCAUUCAGGGGCGACUGGAACAAGCGGUGGAGCGGUGAAAUGCGUAGAUAUCUGGAGGAACAGCCGGUGGGCGAAGGCGGCAUCCUGGACCGGUAUUGACG